GACGAACGCUGGCGGCGUGCUUAACACAUGCAAGUCGAACGAUGAAGCUGGAGCUUGCUCCGGUGGAUUAGUGGCGAACGGGUGAGUAACACGUGAGUAAUCUGCCCUUGACUCUGGGAUAACUGCGGGAAACUGUAGCUAAUACCGGAUACGACACCUUCGGGCAUCCGAUGGGUGUGGAAAGAAUUUCGGUCAAGGAUGAACUCGCGGCCUAUCAGCUAGUUGGUGAGGUAAUGGCUCACCAAGGCCACGACGGGUAGCCGGCCUGAGAGGGGGGCCGGCCACACUGGGACGGAGACACGGCCCAUACUCCUACGGGAGGCAGCAGUGGGGAAUAUUGGACAAUGGGCGAAAGCCUGAUGCAGCAACGCCGCGUGAGGGAUGAAGGCCUUCGGGUUGUAAACCUCUUUUAGUUGGGAAGAAGCGAAAGUGACGGUACCAACAGAAAAAGCACCGGCUAACUACGUGCCAGCAGCCGCCGUAA
rnacentral:rRNA from 1 species